rnacentral:misc_RNA from 1 species
GCCUAUGGUUUCAUGACUUCUGAGCACCAGUAUAUAUCACGGAAGGAUGAAGGAGAUCGGAUCAUUGUCUUUGAGAGGGGAAACCUUGUUUUUGUAUUCAACUUUCAUUGGAAUAACAGCUAUUCAGAUUACAGAGUUGGCUGCUUCAAGCCAGGAAAGUAUAAGAUUGUUUUGGAUUCAGAUGAUGCCUCGUUUGGAGGCUUCAGCAGGCUUAGUCAUAGUGCGGAGUACUUCAGCUUUGAAGGGAGGUAUGAUAACCGGCCUAGAUCUUUCAUGGUGUAUGCACCAUCUAGAACAGCAGUGGUCUAUGCU